rnacentral:snRNA from 1 species
UAUGUAUACUAACAUAAUAGUAAAACUGAAACUACAGAGAAAUUAAUGUGGCUCCUGUACCAGGAUGACAUGCACAUUUAAGAAGCAUUCUAGUGUCUC